rnacentral:rRNA from 1 species
GACAGAGGCCUCAAGCGUUAGGCGGAAUCACUGGGCUUAAAGCGUGUGUAGGCGGACUUCUAAGUGCCUUGUGAAAUCCCACGGCUCAACCGUGGAACUGCUGGGCAUACUGGGAGUCUUGGGCCAUUCAGGGGCAACUGGAACAAGCGGUGGAGCGGUGAAAUGCGUAGAUAUUAGGAGGAACACCGGUGGCGAAGGCGGCUACCUGGACCGAUAUUGACGCUGAGACGCGAAAGCGUGGGGAGCAAACAGG